GAUCUCCUCCAUCUGGCAGGGAUAUGAAAACAUCCACUUUCUGAACUAAAAGAGAAGUUGGACUACAUGAUCUGAAAGCCCUGACUUUCUCAACAUCCUUAUAUUCACAUUGUGCUGGAAUUCCUGCUCUUCUUCUGACAAGUUGUUAGCUACUUGCUGUGGACUCCUCCAUCAUGUGAAAUGCCCCCAGCCAGUAAGAUCUCGACCAAAGCCGUCUCCUCUAUAAGCACCUCGAGUACUUGGCUCCUACUUUUGCCAACAUCACCUCUUCACCCAGGAAAAACAGCCCCAGCGGAACCUUCCCUCCUUCACUUUAUUUCCCUAAACUUGCUAUUCAGAGCACCUUCUUGAAGUCUCCCUGGUGCUGGGAAGAAGAGGAUAGCAGGAUGGUAAAGAAAUUCUUUGGAAAUGCGAACUUACCCCACUGGUGAGGUUGACGUCAAGUCUCCUUCUCGUCCAGCUCCGAUAGGACCACAGGCCACUAGAAGAGCUUCAUUCAGGAGGUGUUCAUCUUCCUUACAAAGUGGAAAAUGGGCUACAGCUCAGUAGUUUUUACCCUGUUUGUGAGAGCUGAAAGAUCUGCUCUGGAAAGCCACAAAGUAGACACUAUAUUUCUAGUGUGAAAGGAUUUCAAUCUAAAAUGGAACCAGAGGAUAUAAAAAGAAGAAUCUCACGCAUGUGCCCUCAGGAAAAUGAAACUUAGGAAUUGAGAGACUAAUUUCUUGUGAAUGCCUGACUGACAGAAAACCAGAACUUCUCUUCUAACCAAGGAAGAUCCGCCAAUCAUCUCUCCCCAUGCUCAAGCGAAUGAACUUACCACUUGGACUCUGUCCGGAUGCACCCUCUUUGCACUCCUCACUCACAGAUAGAGG